UACGGUAGGUGGCAAGCGUUGUCCGGAAUUAUUGGGCGUAAAGAGCGUGUAGGCGGCUUUACAGGUCCGUUGUGAAAACUCGAGGCUCAACCUCGAGACGCCGGUGGAAACCGUAAGGCUAGGAGUCCGGAAGAGGAGAGUGGAAUUCCUGGUGUAGCGGUGAAAUGCGCAGAUAUCAGGAGGAACACCCGUGGCGAAAGCGGCUCUCUGGGACGGUACUGACGCUGAGACGCGAAAGCGUGGGGAGCAAACAGG
rnacentral:rRNA from 1 species